GACGAACGCUGGCGGCGUGCUUAACACAUGCAAGUCGAACGGAAAGGCCCUGCUUUUGUGGGGUGCUCGAGUGGCGAACGGGUGAGUAACACGUGAGUAACCUGCCCUUGACUUUGGGAUAACUUCAGGAAACUGGGGCUAAUACCGGAUAGGAGCUCCUGCUGCAUGGUGGGGGUUGGAAAGUUUCGGCGGUUGGGGAUGGACUCGCGGCUUAUCAGCUUGUUGGUGGGGUAGUGGCUUACCAAGGCUUUGACGGGUAGCCGGCCUGAGAGGGUGACCGGCCACAUUGGGACUGAGAUACGGCCCAGACUCCUACGGGAGGCAGUAGGGGGGAAUAUUGCACAAUGGGCGGAAGCCUGAUGCAGCAACGCCGCGUGCGGGAUGACGUCCUUCGGGUUGUAAACCGCUUUCGCCUGUGACGAAGCGUGAGUGACGGUAAUGGGUAAAGAAGCACCGGCUAACUACGUG
rnacentral:rRNA from 1 species